rnacentral:rRNA from 1 species
CUCAGUAACACGUGGAUAACCUGCCCUUAGGACUGGCAUAACCCCGGGAAACUGGGGAUAAUUCCGGAUAGUUCAUGGUAGCUGGAAUGCUCCAUGAUCGAAAGCUAUUGCGCCUAAGGAUGGGUCUGCGGUCUAUCAGGUAGUAGUGGGUGUAAUGUACCUACUAGCCGACGACGGAUACGGGUUGUGGGAGCAAGAGCCCGGAGAUGGAUUCUGAGACAUGAAUCCAGGCCCUACGGGGCGCAGCAGGCGCGAAAACUUUACAAUGCGGGAAACCGCGAUAAGGGGACACCGAGUGCCAGCAUCUUAUGUUGGCUGUCCGCAUGUAUAAAUCACAUGUGUUAGCAAGGGCCGGGCAAGACCGGUGCCAGCCGCCGCGGUAACACCGGCGGCCCGAGUGGUGGCCACUAUUAUUGGGUCUAAAGGGUCCGUAGCCGGUUUGGUCAGUCUUCCGGGAAAUCUGACGGCUUAACCGUUAGGCUUUGGGGGGAUACUACCAGGCUUGGGACCGGGAGAGGUAAGAGGUACUACGGGGGUAGGAGUGAAAUCUUGUAAUCCUC